AGGAUAAACGCUGGCGGCGUGCCUAAUACAUGCAAGUCGAGCGGCAGCGCGGUCUUCGGACUGGCGGCGAGCGGCGGACGGCUGAGUAACACGUAGGAACGUACCCCAAAGUGAGGGAUAAGCAACCAGAAAUGGUGUCUAAUACCGCAUGUGCUCUAAGGAGUAAAGCUUCGGCGCUUGGGAACGGCCUACGCAUGAUUAGCUUGUUGGUGAGGUAAUGGCUCACCAAGGCGACGAUCAUUAGCUGGUCUGAGAGGAUGAUCAGCCAGACUGGGACUGAGAACGGCCCAGACUCCUACGGGAGGCAGCAGUAGGGAAUUUUCCACAAUGGAC
rnacentral:rRNA from 1 species